AUUUUAUCUAAGUGGUGAGACGUAGGACAUUAGGACCACGUUUGCUGUGAUUCAUUCGUUUGGCUGCUACUGCAGCAGUUGUGCAAGCAACCAUCCUAGAGCACUUUAUACUGUGUUUCCCAAGGAAUUUGUAAGAUAAACCAUGUAAAGAAACUCACCUUGGCAGCUCAAAUUUUGCUCAGUUCCUGCUCUGUGCUUUUGAAACCCACAAAGCCAGCUAACAGAGCAUAAUUCUGAAGGAAUCCAAAUUCUGUACUCUUGGUUAAGCACUGGCCUGAUCCUGUCAUCUCCCAGGCUGACUUGCCAGUUUCUAUUAUGCCAAACCCCUGCUAGAAAGCAAGCUUAACAGGAGGCUGAGUGCUUUAAAUGUUGGGUGAAUGCAACCCCUGGAUAAGUUAUUCACACUGCACACCUGGUGGUAUGCUGAGCCUGAAAAAGAAUGGUCUGCUGUGAUGUCGGGCUGUGAGCUGAUCCACCUGCAAGCCGUGCUAGGAGAAGGCAGAGAAAGGACAGCGCUGGAUGUGGUCACUUCCCCACCAUAAACAGCGAAGGCUCUUAAUUUCUGCAGAGCACUCAGUCUAGAGGAGUCAGCACACUCCCACUUUACUCCAGACCUCAAAUGCUGACAGGUACCACCAGGGCCUGGAAUAGCUGUAAGUGGAAAGUGAAUUCUCGGUAUUCAUAUGUAAAUCGAAAUAAC
rnacentral:lncRNA from 1 species